rnacentral:rRNA from 1 species
CCUACGGGAGGCUGCAGUAAGGAAUCUUUCACAAUGGGCGAAAGCCUGAUGGAGCAACGCCGCGUGCAUGAUGAAGGCCUUCGGGUUGUAAACUGCUUUUGUAAGUGAGAAAUAUGAUGGUAACUUAUGAAUAAGGAUCGGCUAACUACGUGCCAGCAGCCGCGGUCAUACGUAGGAUCCGAGCAUUAUCCGGAGUGACUGGGUGUAAAGAGUUGCGUAGGUGGCAUAAUAAGUAGCUAGGGAAAUCUGGUGGCUCAACCAUCCAGACUAUUAGCAAAACUGUUAAGCUAGAGACCGUUAGGGGCAUCUGGAAUAUCUAGUGUAGGAGUGAGAUUCGUAGAUAUUAGAAGGAACACCAAUAGCGUAGGCAGGAUGCUGGGACGGUUCUGACACUAAGGCACGAAAGCGUAGGGAGCAAACGGGAUUAGAUACCCGUGUAGUC